rnacentral:rRNA from 1 species
CCUCAGCAAUUAUCCUGCUCAAUCUUGUCUAGUCUCAAAAGUUAAGCAGUGUUAAGCUUUGUUAAUACUUGGAUGGGAUGCUGCCUGGGAAUGCCAGGUGCCAUAGGGU